rnacentral:rRNA from 1 species
CACGUAGGGUGCGAGCGUUGUCCGGAAUUAUUGGGCGUAAAGAGCUCGUAGGCGGUGUGUCGCGUCGGCCGUGAAAACCUGCAGCUCAACUGUGGGCUUGCGGUCGAUACGGGGCAUCACUGGAGUUCGGCAGGGGAGACUGGAAUUCCUGGUGUAGCGGUGAAAUGCGCAGAUAUCAGGAGGAACACCGGUGGCGAAGGCGGGGUCUCUGGGCCGAUACUGACGCUGAGGAGCGAAAGCGUGGGGAGCGAACAGGA